CCUGCUGUUGGGGAAGCUCGACCAUUAACGAAGUUCGGAGGAAGUUCGGAGUAAAGUCGAUCGUGGCUGGAAGAAGUCUGGAAGAGAUUCGGAGAAUAGUUGAUCACUGUAGAAAAUUGGCUGAUAGCAGAGUUCAGAGAGCAUUUGGAGCAGUCUGGUAGAUGAAUGGAGAAGCUCAUGGUUGGAAAAGCCCGGAUGCCAUUAGGGAAGCU
rnacentral:lncRNA from 1 species